rnacentral:rRNA from 1 species
AUUGAACGCUGGCGGCAGGCCUAACACAUGCAAGUCGAACGAGUGGCGGACGGGUGAGUAAUGUCUGGGAAACUGCCUGAUGGAGGGGGAUAACUACUGGAAACGGUAGCUAAUACCGCAUACCAACGGAUGUGCCCAGAUGGGAUUAGCCAGUAGGUGGGGUAAAGUCUCACCUAGGCGACGAUCCCUAGCUGGUCUGAGAGGAUGACCAGCCACACUGGAACUGAGACCCGGUCCAGACUCCUACGGGAGUCAGCAGUGGGGAAUAUUGCACAAUGGGCGCAGUCCUGAUGCAGCCAUGCCGCGUGUAUGAAGAAGGCCUUCGGGUUGUAAAGUACUUUCAGCGUGGAGGCGUUUCCCUCAGAAGAAGCACCGGCUAACUCCGUGCCAGCAGCCGCGGUAAUAC